CAACAAAGGCAGGGCGAUAUUUCCAAGAAGGGCAGAGUUAAAACUCCUCUAAAAUUUUGCUGUAGAAGUCGGUUCUUUUCAUCCUUUCCCAGCAGCAGGGUGAGUUCUUCAAACACCCCAAAGCUGUUGGGUGAUGGACAGGUGAUGCCAGGAGACAGGGUGUGAUGAAGUAGCAUUCAGCUUGGUGGCCACAGCAACCUUGAUUUUAACAGGCAGGAGGAGAGGAAGUGCCACCUUGGGGAGACCAGACUCCUUCUGUUCCAGGUGCACAUGCUCCGGAGAAGGUAAGACACAGACCUGGGAGACUCUAGAUCAAGGUCUUUGCUUCUGACCCUAACCCUGCCUCUGCCUCAGUAUCUGAGGUCUGGCUUCAUCAAUAUCUGAGGUUCCCCCCAUAAUCUGUCUGCUUAGUGCCCCACUCACUGGAGUCUCAUCCAUCACCAGUCCUAUAUCCCCCUCCCCUCCUACCAAUGAUCGAAUGUCUCAAGGCCAGAGAGACAGGAGCAGGGCC
rnacentral:lncRNA from 1 species